UAUUACAGAUUGAGAUGUACAGAGAUUAAGUGAUAUGUUUUUGCAAAGGACGCACAGAAUGUUUAUACAGUGUAAAGGAUUGGAUAUACAUGAUAGGAUUGAUUGGAAGCCACUUAUGAAAACAAUGAAG